rnacentral:tmRNA from 1 species
GCACCAGGGCGAGACCCAAAUCAGACCACUAAACAUGUAGAUCUGCUCGAUAAAGGCUGACGGACGGGGGUUCAAAUCCCCCCAGCUCCACCA